rnacentral:rRNA from 1 species
GGCAGCCGCCGCGGUAACACCGGCGGCCCGAGUGGUGAUCGUGAUUAUUGGGUCUAAAGGGUCCGUAGCCGGUUUGGUCAGUCCUCCGGGAAAUCUGAUAGCUCAACUAUUAGGCUUUCGGGGGAUACUGCCAGACUUGGAACCGGGAGAGGUAAGAGGUACUACAGGGGUAGGAGUGAAAUCUUGUAAUCCCUGUGGGACCACCUGUGGCGAAGGCGUCUUACCAGAACGGGUUCGACGGUGAGGGACGAAAGCUGGGGGCACGAACCGGAUUAGAUACCCGGGUAGUCCCAGCCGUAAACGAUGCUCGCUAGGUGUCAGGCAUGGCGCGACCGUGUCUGGUGCCGCAGGGAAGCCGUGAAGCGAGCCACCUGGGAAGUACGGCCGCAAGGCUGAAACUUAAAGGAAUUGGCGGGGGAGCACAACAACGGGUGGAAGCCUGCGGUUUAAUUGGACUCAACGCCGGACAACUCACCGGGGGCGACAGCAAUAUGUAGGCCAAGCUCGAAGACUUUGCCUGAAUCGCUGAGGGGUGGUGCAUGG